CAUUGAAACACCAGUUCCUGUAUGAUCACUGAAGUUAAGCAACAUUGAGACUGGUCAGUACCUAGAUGGGUGACCACCUGGAAAUACUACGUGCUGUAAG